rnacentral:rRNA from 1 species
GACGAACGCUGGCGGCGUGCUUAACACAUGCAAGUCGAACGAAAAGAGGGAAAGAGCUUGCUCUUUCCGGAAUUGAGUGGCAAACGGGUGAGUAACACGUAAACAACCUGCCUUCAGGAUGGGGACAACAGACGGAAACGACUGCUAAUACCGAAUAAGUUCCAAGGGCCGCAUGGCCCAUGGAAGAAAAGGUGGCCUCUACCUGUAAGCUAUCGCCUGAAGAGGGGUUUGCGUCUGAUUAGCUGGUUGGAGGGGUAACGGCCCACCAAGGCGACGAUCAGUAGCCGGUAUGAGAGGAUGAACGGCCACACUGGAACUGAGACACGGUCCAGACUCCUACGGGAGGCAGCAGUGGGGAAUCUUCCGCAAUGGGCGAAAGCCUGACGGAGCAACGCCGCGUGAGUGAUGACGGCCUUCGGGUUGUAAAACUCUGUGAUCCGGGACGAAAAGGCAGAGUGCGAAGAACAAACUGCAUUGACGGUACCGGAAAAGCAAGCCACGGCUAACUACGUG